rnacentral:rRNA from 1 species
GAUGGAAACGGAUAGAGCUAGCGUAUCUAACUUGUAUUCAUCUGCUCAACCGGUUGGAGUUGGCCCCACUGUCCCUAGCUAUGGGCAAUGGUUGGUUAACUGCCGUUUCGCAACCAAUUGGAUUGGGUGGUGCAUUUGCAAGUGGAGUGCGCUGAGGCGUGCUGGUUAGCGGUUGGAAGUUAGUUUAGAGGAUGCUUAGCCCUUACGGGUUAGGUAAACCCUGGACUGGUGAAAGACUGUUUAGCUGGCGCUGUUGCUUUUAUGAGUUUGGUGCAAACGUGCAUAGAUGGUUGUGAUUAGGCGUCUGGUGGCGAUCGCUUGCGACACGUACUUGUUCUGUUUGGUCAUUGCUGUUUAUGUACCCAGGCUCGCAGACCUCGGUGUAAAAGCUGGUCAUCUAUCCGACCCGUCUUGAAACACGGACCAAGGAGUUUAGCGUGUGCGCGAGUCAUUGGGUGUUUAAAACCCAAAGGCGUAAUGAAAGUAAAGGUUGCCUUUUGGUUAACUGAUAUGUGAUCCGGUUUGGUUACGGCCAGCCGGCGCAGCAUAACCCCGCUUCAAUUGCUUGCAAUGGAGCGGAGGUAGAGCGUACGCGCUGAGACCCGAAAGAUGGUGAA